rnacentral:rRNA from 1 species
UCCAUGAGUACAGUGGCGUACGGGUGAGUAACACGUGGGGAUCUACCUCCUGGUGGGGAAUAACUCUGGGAAACCGGAGCUAAUACCGCAUAAGCAGGGAACUGGAAAGCCGAAAGGCGCCGGAAGAGGAGCCCGCGGCCGAUUAGCUAGUUGGUGAGGUAACGGCUCACCAAGGCAAAGAUCGGUAGCCGGCCUGAGAGGGCACACGGCCACACUGGCACUGAAACACGGGCCAG